rnacentral:lncRNA from 1 species
AAGAUCUUGAAGCUGAAUGUACACAGAGUGAGAAAGAGGAUUCAAAGAUAAAUCUGAAGUUUGUUGCAGGAAAAUCCUGUGAUACAGAUCUCUGAAAGAAGACCAAGAGGAAAAUCUUCAAGACUGCUUAAAAAAAAAGAAAAAGAAAGAAAAAGAAAUUAAAAAAAAGAAAAAAAAGAAUGAAAAAGAAAAUUAAAAAACAAAACAAAACAAAACAAAAAAAAAAACCCACUCAUAUUCUCCUAUAUAUUCCUCCACUAAUGUGUCUUCAGGCACAACAAUUUUGCAUGACUUCAUCAGCCAGCAUGACAGAGAUGUAGAUAUGUCCUCUAUCACUCUAUCAUAUCAAGAACUGAGCAGAAGCUCUUAGACUGGAAACUAGAAAAAAUGUGAUGUUGUAUGCUGUGGAAUCGUGG